rnacentral:rRNA from 1 species
WACACGUGGGCAAUCUGCCCUUCCUCUGGGACAAGCCCUGGAAACGGGGUCUAAUACCGGAUAAUACUUCCACUCGCAUGGGUGGGGGUUAAAAGCUCCGGCGGUGAAGGAUGAGCCCGCGGCCUAUCAGCUUGUUGGUGAGGUAAUGGCUCACCAAGGCGACGACGGGUAGCCGGCCUGAGAGGGCGACCGGCCACACUGGGACUGAGACACGGCCCAGACUCCUACGGGAGGCAGCAGUGGGGAAUAUUGCACAAUGGGCGAAAGCCUGAUGCAGCGACGCCGCGUGAGGGAUGACGGCCUUCGGGUUGUAAACCUCUUUCAGCAGGGAAGAAGCGAAAGUGACGGUACCUGCAGAAGAAGCGCCGGCUAACUACGUGCCAGCAGCCGCGGUAAUACGUAGGGCGCAAGCGUUGUCCGGAAUUAUUGGGCGUAAAGAGCUCGUAGGCGGUCUGUCGCGUCGGAUGUGAAAGCCCGGGGCUUAACCCCGGGUCUGCAUUCGAUACGGGCAGACUAGAGUGUGGUAGGGGAGAUCGGAAUUCCUGGUGUAGCGGUGAAAUGCGCAGAUAUCAGGAGGAACACCGGUGGCGAAGGCGGAUCUCUGGGCCAUUACUGACGCUGAGGAGCGAAAGCGUGGGGAGCGAACAGGAUUAGAUACCCUGGUAGUCCACGCCGUAAACGGUGGAACUAGGUG